rfam:Bacteroidetes bacterium RIFCSPLOWO2_12_FTLL_37_12 rifcsplowo2_12_scaffold_859, whole genome shotgun sequence.
UACGGGGAAGCUGAAAACCGAUAAAAGAGUAAGCA